rnacentral:misc_RNA from 1 species
GCUUAGUCUCUAUUUUUACCGUUCAGUGCUUUUCCUUAUCCCCCAUCUGGAUGAAGAAGACCCUCCUCCUCUUCCUCGAAAGUAGGUUUGCUCUCCUUGCUUUUGAGCGGGGUUGUAUACAUAAAUAAGAUUGGCAUUCCUUUUAUAGUGUAUUGCUGCAAAUUGGAGAGCGUAUGGUUAGAUCCACCGUUAAUGUUGGGUUUGAUUUAUCCAAGGCAUUGCAUGCAAGCCAGAAGCUUUAAAAGCAAACAAUCUACUGAAAUCGUCUUGUUGUAAGUGCCUCUUGUUGCUUGUGGUUCCUUGGUAGUGGGCAUUACGGUCUGGGUGGGUUUCCUUAUUUGGCCCGCGAAAUCUCUAAAAGCAUUACCCACCAUGAGGUGGCCGACUCUUGAAGGUUGAAAGGGAACAGAAGAGCUCUAUGUCAUUCCUUUCUGGUUGGCCUUCCUUGAACUUCCAUGACUCUGCGAUUUCGUUUGAUUGAUAGAGCUCACAACCUUAUUCACCAAUCAUCACUUGUGUUGAUCAUUUUGAGGUUUCCUUGAAAUGACUCUUGCCUUGCAUGAACCUCUAUGCUCCUCGGCGUCUUCAGUUUUCACCAAUGAAUGUCCACAAUGGGCGAUGGCGACAACGGUCCAAAAGUUGUGGUUUGCAUUUCUCGCCUAGCUAGGAAUUGGGGAGUGGAAAAAGAGAAAAUAUUCCGAAAAAUACGACGCCGUUUCUUCAUACCCCAAUUUUUGAAAGUGUCGUUUCGCAGCUACGGUGUCCGAGAAAAUAUAGAGAGGCAGCAGCCGGAGGGCAAAAGCUUUAAAGUUUUGCACAGGCAGAAAUAGAGAGAGAAAGGAGAAGGAAUCAGAGUGGCAAAAUGUCGACGUUUUUGCAAUCAUUUCUAGAUCCAAGGAAGAACUGGUUCGCGAAGCAGCACAUGAAAGCUCUCUCCAAACGUCUCCGCAAAUAUGGGCUCCGAUACGACGAUCUUUACGAUCCGUACUACGAUCUGGACGUGAAGGAGGCGCUUUAUCGGCUCCCCAGAGAGAUUGUGGACGCUCGUACCCAGCGUCUCAAGCGCGCAAUGGACCUUUCCAUGAAACACGAGUACCUUCCCGAGGACCUCCAGGUUUCAUUAUUUUGCUACUAAAUCUCUAUUCUGGUUGUGGGAUUUUAGGUAUUUUGAUUGAUUCUAUCAAUGUGUGCUUAUUUACGUAUCUCAUAUCUCAGUUCCUGUAUUGGUGGUCACUGGUCAAGGUUAUAUUUGGGAAAAAAUUAAGAUGAAAAUGCUUACUCUUUGGCAUCAAAAUCUAUAUAAUUAAUAGCAGGUUUUGAGAAUAAUCGACCAAGACUUAGGGUGCGUUUGGUUUGAGGUUGAAGGGGGUUAACCUUUAAGAGGUUAAUUAUUAAAUUUCUUUAACCUUGUUUGGUUGGCCUGAUUCUUUAAGGGGUCCCAUUCUGUAACUUCAAUCCAUAUGCAUCCUUAGGAUUACAAACUUGAGAUUACUUUAUGCUUGUUUAAUGGAGCAACUUGCCUUGGCUUGAGCUUAUUAAUUUAACAACACUUGUCUUUGGUUAAGGCUUCAUCAGGGUAUUUUGUGUGUGCACUCGUUUUCAAAUGUGUUAAAAUACAUGGAGAUCUUACAAGCAUCUAUUUACUUUCUUUGCACUUUUGAAGGCAAUGCAAACCCCUUUCAGGACCUACCUUCAAGAUAUGAUGGCUCUUGUAAGUUGUUUUGAAGAAUUUAUGUACUUUGUCUACUAAGUUAUUUGCCUUUUUAUUCAAUUGGUUUCUGGUUAACACCUUUAAUAUAUGAUUCUUCCCUGUAUGACUUCUAAUCGAUUAUAACUGCUUUGAAUUUUCAAUUGCAAUGCCUAUAAAUAGUAGGUAAAUGAUGCUGUUAUGUAUUUUGUGGUUGGUGCACAGUGAUACAAUGAGUGAAAUUAGAACAUGUAAUGUUUGAUACAGACAGUAAUGGAGCAUUAUGGAAUCAGGAUAUUGACCAAAAUAUUCAUAAAUCAAAAACAUUGUAUUAAAAUGUGAGACUUUAUAUAUUUUUUCCCAAUAUAUUGUGGUCAUCUGGUCAUAGCCAAGAUCUACACAUUGAGUGUCAAUCAGUUGCUUUUGCGUUCUGCUCGCAGUCACAGACGGAAUAGAAUAAUAAACAUCAAGCUUCAAAAUGGCCACCUGCUCAUGAAGGUCAACAAUGUUGGUGUCGUCGACCUGCUGCUGCUCACUUGCUCCACCAGAACAACUCCCCCACUCCAAAAAAAAAAAUAAAUAAAUAA